UGAACCAAAUAUUUCAGGAGAUUUGAUCAUUCCGAUUUCGAUUCUAAAUUAUUUUAAUUUUCAUUCUGAUUUUGAUUUUGAUCAUGAAUCAACCACCUCCCAAGUGUAGUUAUCCUGACCACUUUUGAUCCCUUAAUCCAUGGGAGGAAAGAGUUCCCUCCGCUCGCACAAAAUUUGGUCACGUUGCCUCCACUCAUGAGAAUCAAUCGCGCC
rnacentral:lncRNA from 1 species